ensembl:miRNA predicted gene, 27883
AGUGCAGCCAGUACCUAGAGCAGGAUGGAGGCCAGAGAAGAUGGUGGCCUUGCAUCCUGGAACUCCAUCUCUGUUCUGUGCAGGCAAUGCGAGGAGCCAGAC